GGGUGGGAGGGCAAUCUGGCUUUGUCAUCCCAUUGAUCACCAGGGUUGAUUGGGCUGUUCUGGACGGCUGGUGUGUGUCCCCUUCUUCCCUCACCACUUCAUGUGUGUCCCUCCUAAAGCUCCCUGAAUAGAGGCAGAGAGAGAGCUAAUUAGGAAUGGCAAGGGAGUAUGAGGGUCUGCAUUGGAUGUUAUCAACUGCCAGUUCCAGGCAGUNCAAUAAAAUUCUGUCUUAAAAUAAAGAGUAAAAAACAGAAAGGUUAAAAAAUAGGCUUU
rnacentral:snRNA from 1 species